AUCCUUCUAAGGUCAACGGGAGAUGAUGAUUGGUUAUUCAUGCUCUAUACAUGAGACAUGUCACCAUUUAUCCUUGUUACAUUCUGACAUGAAACCAUCUGAUC